rnacentral:rRNA from 1 species
AGAUUGAACGCUGGCGGCAUGCCUAACACAUGCAAGUCGAACGGGAGUAGCAAUACUCUAGUGGCGGACGGGUGAGGAAUACGUAGGAAUUUGCCCUUAAGUGGGGGAUAACCCGGGGAAACCCGGAUUAAUACCGCAUGACCUCGGAAGAGCGAAAGUGGGGGAUCGCAAGACCUCACGCUUUUGGAGAAGCCUACGUCGGAUUAGCUAGUUGGUGAGGUAAUGGCUCACCAAGGCGACGAUCCGUAACUGGUCUGAGAGGAUGAUCAGUCACACCGGACUGAGACACGGUCCGGACUCCGUACGGGAGGCAGCAGGUGGGGAAUAUUGGACAAGUGGGGCGCAAGCCUGAUCCAGCAAUGCCGCGUGUGUGGAAGAGGUCC